rnacentral:tRNA from 1 species
CUGGGUGUAGCGCAGUUGGUAGCGCACGUAAUUUGGGGUUACGGUGUCGCAGGUUCAAGUCCUGCCACUCAGA